rnacentral:rRNA from 1 species
GGUGAACGCUGGCGGUAGGCCUAACACAUGCAAGUCGAACGGCAGCACAGUAAGAGCUUGCUCUUACGGGUGGCGAGUGGCGGACGGGUGAGGAAUACAUCGGAAUCUACUUUUUCGUGGGGGAUAACGUAGGGAAACUUACGCUAAUACCGCAUACGACCUACGGGUGAAAGCAGGGGAUCUUCGGACCUUGCGCGAUUGAAUGAGCCGAUGUCGGAUUAGCUAGUUGGCGGGGUAAAGGCCCACCAAGGCGACGAUCCGUAGCUGGUCUGAGAGGAUGAUCAGCCACACUGGAACUGAGACACGGUCCAGACUCCUACGGGAGGCAGCAGUGGGGAAUAUUGGACAAUGGGCGCAAGCCUGAUCCAGCCAUACCGAGUGGGUGAAGAAGGCCUUCGGGUUGUAAAGCCCUUUUGUUGGGAAAGAAAAGCAGCAGGUUAAUACCCCGCUGUUCUGACGGUACCCAAAGAAUAAGCACCGGCUAACUUCGUG